UGAUCUCUGCUUCUCCGAGGAAUGCAAUCAAUGUUCAUAGCUCUGCUAGGAGCCUAGCUUUGGUUGUAGGCAACGGAAGAUGGUGCUAAUAGGGAUCUGUUAGACCAGUGCUGCUCAAUGUACCCCCGUGUCCCAGCAUGUCAACAGUUACCACGAUCCUGGGACAGUGAUACCAGAUGAUGAGACUGAAGCUCAGAAAGGCCCAAGAGCAUCCUCCUGUAAGUGCUGAAGCUGGGGAUGGAACCUGAGUGCCUUAUGGUUGACUGAAGCCAACAAGUAUCUGCUGUGGGACUUCUGACUAUAGGAAGAAUGUGGCAGAAGAGACAACCUGACAUGCCUGCUGCCAGGAAGAUCCCUAUGUGCAUCUGAGCUUGCAAGAGAGUAAAGGACUGACUCAAGUGUCAAUAUUAGAUUGGUCAAAAUGAAAAAUUCUGAGAAUGCAAAUUGUUGAUAAGGAUAGGGAACAAUAAAAACUACUACACAUUUCAGGAUAAGUUUAAGUGGGGACAGUUAUUUUGGAAAGCAACUGGACAGUUUUAAGUAAACUCUGAAAAUGUGUUGACUAAA